rnacentral:rRNA from 1 species
UAUUGGACAAUGGGGGGAACCCUGAUCCAGCGACGCCGCGUGAGUGAAGAAGUCUUUCGGUAUGUAAAGCUCUGUCAGCAGGGAAGAAGAAAGUGACGGUACCUGACCAAGACGCCCCGGCUAACUCCGUGCCAGAAGCCGCGGUAAUACGUAGGGGGGCAAGCGUUAUCCGGAAUUACUGGGUGUAAAGGGAGCGUAGACGGUAAUGUAAGUCUGGAGUGAAAGGCGGGGGCCCAACCCCCGGACUGCUCUGGAAACUAUGUUACUGGAGUGCAGGAGAGGUAAGCGGAAUUCCUAGUGUAGCGGUGAAAUGCGUAGAUAUUAGGAGGAACACCAGUGGCGAAGGCGGCUUACUGGACUGUAACUGACGUUGAGGCUCGAAAGCGUGGGGAGCAAAC